ACACACAGUACAGGAUGAGGCCCAGGAACACGAACACAUAGUUGCUCUGGUAGUACUCCACGUUGCGUACGAGGCGCUGGCACAGCUCUCCCAGGUUGCGGGGCCGUGAGAAGCGCUGCUGGUCCACGAAGGUGCUCCAGGGCCGGAUGGUCGCGCGGCGCCGCUCCAGCCACUCCCGGCCUGCACCGGAGGGAAUCAGCUUCGGCAGCAGGGUCCUGCGGGGGGUGGGGCCGGGUCAGUGGUGGACCGGGAUGGAGCCCCAGACCCCCGCAAAAGAAGGGGACUAAGGGUGCCUGGACUCCCUCCCGGGACCCCAGAUUCCUGUACAGCAGGCAGGGAGGGGACUAGGGGCCCAGACUCCAGGGUCCCAUUAGAGGAGACCGGGGCCAACACUUCUGCGGCUCGGGGCUGGGACUCCAGGCUCUCGAGGGAGGAGGGAGGAGGGGGCCGGGGGCCCGGACUCCCGGGUCUCUGGUCCGAGGGCCUAGAGCCAGCUCGCUCACGUGCCGCUCAGCCCUUCCGCCUCGGCAUCUUUCUGCUGGUCCUUCUGCGCUGCCAUGUCUGCGUCGUGAGGGGUAGAGCUGCUGUAACCAGCCCGGUACCCUGAAGACCCCGCCGGCCCCGCCCGACGCCGGCCCCACCCAGCGGAGUCGACGUGGCGCAGCCCCGGAGCAGCUGGGGACUGUAGUUCUGCCGCCGAGUAUUGUGGGAGUUGUAGUCCUGACGGUGACUAAGAGGAUGGGCGCUAUGAUGGCGGUCUGACUCGCAAAACACCUUGGGAGAUAUAAUCCCAGAAAGUGACGGCGCGCGCCUCUGGGUAUUAUAGGAGUUGUAGUUUCAGGAGGGUGCAUGUGGGCUGUCAGGAGCGAGGGCGUUAUGGGAACUCUAACGGCAGAAGCGGGCGUUGUGUACUCUCCCAGGGAAGGCACAAUGGGGACCGUGCAGAGCUGUCCUUCUGACUCUAGAGGGCAUAAAAAAACACCUGGAGGGCUUGCUAAAACAGAUUCCUGGGCCCUAGCCCAGAUGUUUUCAUUCAGCAAGUCUGGGGUGGAGCCCAUAAUUUCCAUUUCUGAGUUCCCAGGUGAUGCUGAUGCCCCUGGUCCAUGGACUACAUUUUGAGUAGAAAGAUUUAGAUAAUUUGUGGGAAUUGAUUCCUUCCUCAAGAGAUUGAGGCUAGUGAGGGGGCCAUGGUUGCUGGAGGGGUAUCUGAGGUUGCC
rnacentral:lncRNA from 1 species